CUGGUCUCUAAUGUCAGUUGGCUCAGGACACAAUAAUGAUCACAGCUGGUCUGAUCACACUCUCUGCAGCUCUGCUCUGUAUUGUAGAUCUAAUCGAGGGGAGUGAUGUCACUCAGACCCCUCCGCUGUGGAGGGACGAGGGUCAGUCUGCCACGAUGAACUGCAGUCACACUAAGGGUGGUAGUUUUUACCAGAUGUACUGGUACAGGCAGCUGCCAGGGGAGGGAAUGAAGCAAAUUGUUUUCACGACUCGAACUCCCCCACAUAAAUAUGAAAGUGGCUUCAGUGAGGACAAAUUUCCAGCACAGAAGAAAGAUGCUCAGACUGGAUCUCUGACGGUGAAGAAGCUGCUGCUUGAGGACAGUGGAGUGUAUUUUUGUGCUGUGAUGGUACAGUAUGUCUGUGAUGUGAGGAGGCAGUUCAGGGGACGAGGAGAGGACAAUGCAUCAUGGCACCACCCAACUAAACAAAUGUUUCUUUUCUUGAUGGGAGGGUUUACCCAGUAAUAGAGGCUCCUCUCUCAGUGACAAAGUCCAACAGACUCCAGCUGACAUGUACCACCAACCAGGAGAAACAGCCAAAAUAAAUUGUUCACACAGUAUUGAGAACUAUGACCGAAUCCUCUG